UACGUAGGGGGCAAGCGUUGUCCGGAAUUAUUGGGCGUAAAGAGCGUGUAGGCGGUCCGGUAAGUCGGCUGUGAAAGUCCAGGGCUCAACCCUGGGAUGCCGGUCGAUACUGCCGGACUAGAGUUCGGAAGAGGCGAGUGGAAUUCCCGGUGUAGCGGUGAAAUGCGCAGAUAUCGGGAGGAACACCUAUGGCGAAGGCAGCUCGCUGGGACGUUACUGACGUUGAGACGCGAAAGCGUGGGGAGCAAACAGG
rnacentral:rRNA from 1 species